rnacentral:ncRNA from 2 species
CGCUUAUCAUGAGUGGUGGAGGAAUCUGGUCCUAUGAUCCCACGGCAACCGUUUGUUUCAAGCAAAUAAGGUGCCAAAUCCAGCAGCUAACUAGCUGAAAGAUAAGAA